AGCGGCGGACGGGUGAGUAAUGCCUGGGAAUGUGCCCUGAUGUGGGGGAUAACUAUUGGAAACGAUAGCUAAUACCGCAUAAUCUCUUCGGAGCAAAGAGGGGGACCUUCGGGCCUCUCGCGUCAGGAUUAGCCCAGGUGGGAUUAGCUUGUUGGUGAGGUAAUGGCUCACCAAGGCAACGAUCCCUAGCUGGUCUGAGAGGAUGAUCAGCCACACUGGAACUGAGACACGGUCCAGACUCCUACGGGAGGCAGCAGUGGGGAAUAUUGCACAAUGGGGGAAACCCUGAUGCAGCCAUGCCGCGUGUGUGAAGAAGGCCUUCGGGUUGUAAAGCACUUUCAGUAGGGAGGAAGGUAGUGUAGUUAACACCUGCAUUAUCUGACGUUACCUACAGAAGAAGCACCGGCUAACUCCGUGCCAGCAGCCGCGGUAAUACGGAGGGUGCGAGCGUUAAUCGGAAUUACUGGGGCGUAAAGCGCAUGCAGGCGGCCUGUUAAGUCAGAUGUGAAAGCCCGGGGCUUAACCUCGGAAUUGCAUUUGAAACUGGCGGG
rnacentral:rRNA from 1 species